rnacentral:rRNA from 1 species
UACAGAGGUCUCAAGCGUUGUUCGGAUUCAUUGGGCGUAAAGGGUGCGUAGGCGGCGCGGUAAGUCGGGUGUGAAAUCUCGGAGCUUAACUCCGAAACUGCAUUGGAUACUGCUCUGCUUGAGUACUGGAGAGGAGACUGGAAUUUACGGUGUAGCAGUGAAAUGCGUAGAUAUCGUAAGGAAGACCAGUGGCGAAGGCGAGUCUCUGGACAGUUACUGACGCUGAGGCACGAAGGCUAGGGGAGCAAACGGG